GACGAACGCUGGCGGCGUGCUUAACACAUGCAAGUCGAACGAUGAUGCGGUGCUUGCACCGUGGAUUAGUGGCGAACGGGUGAGUAACACGUGAGUAACCUGCCCUUCACUCUGGGAUAAGCGCUGGAAACGGUGUCUAAUACUGGAUAUUUAGGCUCUGCUGCAUGGUGGGGUUUGGAAAGAUUUUUUGGUGGAGGAUGGGCUCGCGGCCUAUCAGUUUGUUGGUGGGGUGAUGGCCUACCAAGACGACGACGGGUAGCCGGCCUGAGAGGGUGACCGGCCACACUGGGACUGAGACACGGCCCAGACUCCUACGGGAGGCAGCAGUGGGGAAUAUUGCACAAUGGGCGCAAGCCUGAUGCAGCGACGCCGCGUGGGGGAUGAAGGCCUUCGGGUUGUAAACUCCUUUCGCCAUUGACGAAGCCCUUUGGGGUGACGGUAGGUGGAGAAGAAGCACCGGCUAACUACGUGCCAGCAGC
rnacentral:rRNA from 1 species